rnacentral:rRNA from 1 species
UACAGAGGUCUCAAGCGUUGUUCGGAUUCAUUGGGCGUAAAGGGUGUGUAGGUGGCGCCGUAAGUCGGGUGUGAAAUCUCGGGGCUUAACUCCGAAACUGCAUUCGAUACUGCGGUGCUUGAGGACUGGAGAGGAGACUGGAAUUCAUGGUGUAGCAGUGAAAUGCGUAGAUAUCGUAAGGAAGACCAGUGGCGAAGGCGGGUCUCUGGACAGUUCCUGACGCUGAGGCACGAAGGUCAGGGGAGCAAACGGG